rnacentral:lncRNA from 1 species
UGAUCCACCCAUCUCUGCCUCCCAAAGUGCUGGGAUAACAGGUGUGAGCCCUCACGCCUGGCUUCCUUAUAUUUAAACAAUUCUAUUAAUGUAAAAAUACCAUUAAGAAAAAAGGCAAGCCACAGCAUGCAAGAAGACAGUUAUAAUACAUACGUCUAAAAACUACUUCUGUCCAGAAUAUACAGAAUCUUCUACAAAUCAAUGAGAAAAUGCAUAUAACUCAAUUUUAAAAUGCAUAAAAAACUCCUGAGCAAAAAUUUUAUAAAAGAGGAUAUCCAAAGGGCCAUACACAUAGAAAAAAGGUUCAACAUCAUUACUCUUUAGAAAAAUACAAAGCAAAUCUAUAAUGAAAUACCAUUUACACCCAUUGGAAUGGCUAAAAUUAAAAAGACUGAAGGACUGACAGUAACUCAUAUUGGUAAGGCGGUUGAACAACUGGAAUUCUCAUACAGUAUCAUAGCAGGAGUGUACGUUGGUACAGUUUGGAAAAAAGUUUGACAGUUUCUUAUAAAGUUGAACAUAGAGACCCAAUAAUUCCAUUUUUAGAUAGAUACCUAAAAGAAAUAAGUAAUAUAUUCUUCAAAACUCAUAUAUAAGAAUGAUCACAUUUGCAUUUUUCAUAAUAACUCCAAACUGGAAACAUGUCCACCAACAGGAGGUCUAAUAAUUGUGGAAGAUGGAAAAUUAUACUGCAAUUUAAAAAAUAACCAACUACUGAUAUUUUAAAUCGCAUAGAUGAAUCUCACAGACAUUAUGUUAAGUGAAAGAAGCCAGACAAAUAAGAGUGUAUACUGUAUAAUUCCAUUUAUAAAAAGUUCAAGAACAGGCAAAACCAAUUGAUGAUACCUUGAAAUAUGAGGUUAUUGACUUCUGAGAUGCUGGAGGCAUUCCAUAUCUUUAUUUGGAUAGCGGUUAUGUGAAUGUAUAAAUGUAUAUACACUUAAGAUUAGCACAUUUCAUCUUUUGUAUGGUUAAAUAUAAUUUAGACAAAGCAAGAGACCAAUUCAGGUGGUCCUGUCUUAGUCUGCUUUCUCCUGCUGUAAAAGAAUACUACAGACUGGGUAAUUUAUAAAGAAAAGAAAUUUAUUUUGCUUAUGGUUCUGGAGACUGGGAUGUCCAAGGGCAUGGCACUGGCAUCUGCUCAGCCAUCUGGUGGGGGCCUUAUUGUUGUGUCAUCUCAUGAAGGAAAGUGGAAAGACAAGGGAGCAUGGGAGACAGAAAAAAGGGGUGAACUCCUGAGAUAACUGAUCUACUACAGCAAUAACAGCUUUAAUCCUUUAAUCCACUCUUACCCUAUGACCUAAUCACCUCUUAAAGGUCCCACCUAUUAAUGCUGCCACACUAGCAAUCAAAUUUCAAUAUAAAUUUUGGAGGGGACAUUUUAAAUGAAAGCAGGUUCCAAACUCACCUAUUUAUGACACCUAAAACAGGAAUGGUGAAAAUAGGGGAAGGGGAUUGGUUUUUAAUGUCACAAGAAACUUCCUAGAAUAUUCAGAUUGAAGGGGUUCACUGUUAAGCAAGAUGAAUUUUAAAUCAGAAAUAUAAAAUAUUCUCAUUAAAUUAUAAUGCAGCUAGGAUCAAGGCAUGUUGAUAAAGUCUUCUGGACAGGAAAAACAAGCCAUAUGUAAAGGAAUAAGGAUCAGAUUAAUGUCAGACUUCUCAUGAACAAUUGGAUAUUACAGGAAAAUGAAGCAAUGUUCUCUCAAAUUUCUGAGCCAACAUAUCAAUCAGGUGUGAGAACAAAAUAAUUUUUUUCUGACAGGCAAAGGAGGGUAACGUUUACCUUUUAAUCGUGCCUUUUAAGGGAGUUAAUUGAAGAUACAAUACAGUCAAGCAACAGGAGGAAAGAAACAACAAAUGGGAGACAUGAGGUUCCGAGGAUCAUGGUUCCAACACAGGACAGCAGAAAAGAGGAGUUGCAAAAUGACUGCUACAAAACAGACUUAAAGAGAAAACAUUCCAGUUUCACGUAGGAGGACAAAAGAAAAAACAAAACAACAUGAAAGAAGGAUGGAGCAAAUGCCCCAGAUGAAGCCUACACGACAUGAGUCAGAGAACUUUGGCCAGGAUGUCUGGGGAAAAAGUUUCCUCUUUCUUCUCUGGGAACUAUCUGGAGAGGGUUGUUUUAACGCUGGAUGUGAACAGCGACUCGUGUAGCCCCAGAAGCCUCUGACAGCCGCGUUGGAAUCAUAAGUUCUCAAAAUGAAGGUUGUGGUCUAGAAAGCAUAUUGUGAUUUGUACAAGAAGCACAUUCCCAUUUUACAAAAGUACAAAAGCACAUUUUGGACUUUUAACAAAUUCAACUGUUUUGUGUUCUGUGUGAGUAAAUUUUAGGUUGCCCAUCAUUGAAAACCAGUUUAAAAAAAAAUAAUGGGAGUAGAUAAUCCAGACAACAUUUUCUACCGUAUUUGUUGACUCCAGUUGUUGGAAAGUAAAAUUCUGGAGGAAGAGCUGGGAUAUCUCCAGGGGCUUAGUUUAACAUCAUCAAAGACUCUCCUGCUCCCCCUUUGCAUGUUACAGUAUCUGCUUUACCAAUCAGAGGGAAAUUUAUCAUGUAGGAUUUAAAGGAGAUAUUUAUGGCGUCCGUAAGCACAAUGACUUUGACUGGUAAGACGUCAGCUAUUCCCUUUAGGAGAUAAAAGGCCACAGCUGGUGAGGUAAUAGAACAGGAACUGUUUCAAUAUUUCAAAACAGAAGACCUUGUUGAAGAAGAGAGAUUUUAUAUGGCAUUUGCUUUUAUUUUUUUCCUUCUAUGAUGAACAGGUGUGGGAGUCAAUUCAAGAAGGCAGCUUAGAUGAUUGUGAGACAAGGGAGGGAGGUAAAUAUUUUUGAUGGUUGGGGAAGGACUGAGAUUUUCAAACUUCAAACCAAACAUGUAGUCCAAGCCUUUUCUACCUGUGUACACAAAGGAAAGAGGAAACUAAGUCAAUGUAAAAUAGGCAGUUGUUGUUUGGAAAAGUUAUGAAAUCCUCCUGGCUACACAAAACAGAAAGCCCAGCUAUGUGACAAGUGUUUGAUGUAAAUAUGCAAAUGCAGUUUUAAAUUCAUUAUACCUAAGGGAACAAGGUGUCUGGGUAAGGGGGGUUCUACUGUUUCUUAAGCUUACAAAGCAGGUCCUUGAAUAAUGUCAUUUAAGUUCAAUGUAAUUUCCUUAUAAUGUUGAUGAGAAAAAAAAAAUGGAUUCCUAGCUGAAGUCAUUGUGUGUGUGGACUUUGCAUGUCCUCCCCAUGUCUGGUUUCCUCCCAAAACCCAAAGCUGUGUCCGUUAGAUGAAUCAGUGUGUCUCACUGGUCCCAGCGUGAGUGAGUGUUGCUAUGUAUGAGUGGGCCCUGCAAUGGGAAUGGUGACCUGUCUGGGGCUGGUUCCAGCCUGGUACCCUGAGCUACCAGAAGUGGCUCUGGCCCCUUGAGCUUCUGAACUUGAAUAAGUGGGUAAAUUAUUAUCUUACUUGUUUUUGUUAACCUUUCUUAAGUGUAUGUGUAGCUCACCUUCCUUUCAAAGUUAUUUUGAUGUUUAUUUCAAUAUUAGAAGUGUUUGGGUCUUUCUUUAGAAGUUUGGUGAUUUUUUUUUUUGUGACCAAAAUAUGCUGUAGCAACUUAACUCUUGUUUAGAUCGGUUAGCUUAUAGCAAAGCUAUUUUCGUUAUGUGUUCUUUCACUUGAAGUUCCAGUUUCCAAGAACCUAUUGUCCAAGAUAAGUAAGGACUUACUGUACUUCUGGGCACACAAUGGGCUAAGCAUCUUAUAUUAUCAAAUGAGAUGAAAUAAAAUAUAAUGCUAAAAUGAUGUUAAAAAGUUAUCACAUUAUAACAAAUUAUAAGAAUUAUUAAAAUGACAGGAUAUAUUAAAGCACUGUAAAAAGUAAAGCUUAGUAGAUGCAUUAGAGGUUAUGAUUGGCAUUGCUAACAUUAUUAUUAUUAAAAUCCUUCAGUGCUGGGCACCACUUAUUUCUACCCUUAUAACCCCAUGGACCUGUACUGUAUCUUGUAAUAAAACCCUCAAUAAAUAUUUGAUACAUUGCUGAAUAAAAGGUAGGUUGACUUCUUAAAGUACCUGCAAAAUACCUCAUCCACAAGAGAAAAAGGCAAGAGAAUAACCUUGCUUCAUGAAGAAAGUAUCGAUCAUUCAGGCGUUAAAUUUUCCAUUUGUUCAUUUUUUUUUUUUUCCAGCAGAAACUCUUGGAGAAAUUGCAUAGCAUUAUUUUAAACAAUUCCCCUCAGAGGCCCAUUAGAUAGGCUUUUCUGCAGACAGGAUAGAUGUCUUUUACAGCUGGUCAGUGUUUAGUUCUCCCAAUACUUGACUGAAGAAAGAAAAUAACUGGGAUGUAAGAUAUCUGACCUAUAGAUUGCUCAUUCUCUGCAUGAGUCAAUCUUUGAAGUCGGAAGAUAAAAAUCACCAUUAAUCACAAAACUUUCUUACCAUCAUAAGGUCAGAUAUCCCAGGGCCCUUCCAAAAUUACCACGUGGACUGGCAUAGGGCGAGAUUGGCUCAGCUGUGGUCACUUUUAUGACACAGAGCUCCUUCCCUCUGGUUGAUGAUAUUGAAUGAGCAGGAAGGAAGAAAAGAAAUAAAAGUCAGCUAACCAUGGUUGAGUCAAUCCAGCCCACGGCAUUCAAAGGCUGAAGGGCCACCUGACACUCCAGAGGCUGCUGGAAAUGCAGGGCUGUUUCAUCCUGGGAACGCAAAAGAUUCUUCAAAAUCAAACUGUGUCCGGAAUUGGUGGGUUCUUGGUCUCACUGACUUCAAGAAUGAAGCCACGGACCCUGGCGGUGAGUGUUACAGCUCUUAAGGUGGCGUUUCUGGAGUCUGUCCCUUCUGAUGUUCAGAUGUGUUCGGAGUUUCUUCCUUCUGGUGGGUUCGUGGUCUCGCUGGCUCAGGAGUGAAGCUGCAGAUCUUCACGGUUGCUAGUAACACAAUAAUAAAGCUGCUUUAUUUUCCAGUGAAGAUGUAUGUGAUAGGGAGUGGAGGAAGAAAAAGGCCAGAAAAUUCCAUAGUUAGCAAAUAUACCUUUCUUACUUAAAAUUCUUUUUCCAAUGUGAGCCUUCUAAAGAGUUACUGAGAAAUUAGGUGAGCUCACCUCAUUUAAUGCAAUAGAUAUGUUUCUGAAAAAUAAGCAAUACAUAGGACAUUGGCCAAUUAAGAAUUCUGAUGAAGAAGAAUUUUCACAUCCGAAAGAGUAAAAAUGAAAAACGGUACAAAUGUAGUGGCUUUUAAAUUUCAAAACAAAUUAUUUUGAUAAGAUAAAUAUUCCUCUCAUAAAGUGAAAAUGGAAGAGACUGCUUGCUGGGUGUUCGUCAAAAUGGAGUUAGAUGGUCUGUCCCAGACUCCCCUGUUGUUAGUUCUGAGAACAGAAGUAAUGGUGCUUCUUCAGGACUGGCUCAUAGAAACCUGCCGUGUUCAGCCCCCACAAUCCUCUCCCUUCUGCUGGCUGGAAACAAAUGACAACGAAGCCUCACGUCUUGGAGAAACCACACUGCUGAGGAACUCAAGUCCUAGAAGAACCAUUUGAAGAGACCCAUCUCACUAAAGAAAAUCACACAAGCAAGAAGUAAACUUCAUUGUAUCUAUGUAUUUAAUUGUCAUAACAGUCUACCUUAACUGAUACAGCAAAAAUUCGCUCCUUUUCUGGACACCCAGUUUCAAAAUCUCAGUGUCAUUUUUUACUUCUCUCUUUUCAGGUUGUUUAAUAUAAUAAAAUUUGUGUGUGUGUGUGUGUGUGUGUGACAAGGUCUUGCUCUGUUGCCCAGGCUGGAGUGCAAUGGCACGCUCCCAGCCCACUACAGCCUUGACCUCCAAGCUCAAGUGUUCCUCCCACCUCAGCCUCCAGAGUAACUGGGACUACAGGCAUGGGCCACCACACCCGGCUAAUUUUUGUACUUUUUGUAGAGACAGGGUUUCACCAUGUUGCCCAGGCUGGUCUUGAACCCCUGGGCUCAAGCGAUCUGCCCAUCUCCACCUCCCAAAAUUCUAGGAUUACAGGCGUGAGCCACUACACCCAACCAUUUUAUUUUUAAAAGUUUUCUUUGCAAUAUUGCUCACAUUGUUUCCUUCCUUUUUAUUCUUAUUGUCACUCCCAAGUUCAGGCUUUUACCUCUUUUAUUUGAAGUAUUAAAGUAUACUUCUAAGUCAUUUCUGUGGCUUAAAUUUAUUUAAUCCACUCCAUCCUGCAUCCUACCAACACAAUAACAUUGUUUCAUCAUUUCAAAUUGAAAUCGAAACUCUCCAAAGCUUUCCUACUGCUGAAUGGAUAAAAACACAAAAUCCUCAAUAGAGAAUUCACUUUCUGGAGCCAACUUACCUUUCCAAAUAUUUCCCAUUAUUCCCUAAGAGAAUCCUCCUGACAUACUCACUGUUUUUCAUAUACACUAGACCUUUUCUCAACCACCUAUUUGUCCACACAUUUUUCUUCCAGCUAGAAUAUUAUUUUCCCUUUCUCACUUCUGAAAGUCUUACCUGUCAUUCAUGGUUCAUCUCAAGCUCAAUCUUCUCCUUGAAACCUUUAAGCAUACCCUCCUGGAAAGUUAUCUCCCUCACCUCGAACCACCCCCCCAGCCCCUGCCAGAAUCUCCUAUAGGGCUGAUUGUUUAUCCUGCUUAUUAUAUAUUUAUAAAACACUCCACUGAGUUAUUAAUUACCUUUUCCUUGACUGUGAAAACAUGACUCUGGCUUCAAGGUAGGACCAUUUUUUCUCUAACACUGUGUCUCAUACACUUCAGCACAAGCUCUUAGUGGCCUGUGCAUUCAACUCCCAUGCAUAGCCACUUCCUCCAGGCAAACCCCACAGCCAGCAUCCAAAUUUUAAAAGGGGUUCUGUCAUCAACCCAAAGUUUCUUCUCUCUCAAGGAACCUAGAUUUAGAAGUUGAGUCUAGGCCACCUGUCUAAGAUACAGUAGUUAAUUUAACAUAUUUUAUUGCUCUCAACAUCACAGAGAAAGAGCCUUACUGCAGAUCUCAUUCUUUCCUUCAAAGCCAGUUUGCCCAUUCCUCUUCAGAAACCUUUAAGAGUGGUUAUUGGGAGAGAUGAUAAGACUCCAUCUGCUUAAGGAGUCCCUCUAACCCAGAAUAGUAGAUGUAAACACCUGACAUGUUGUUAUAGAGUGAAUGUUUGUGUUCCCCUCCAAUCCAUAUGUUGAAAUUCCAAGCCCCAAUGUGUUCGCAUUGGGAGGUGAGGCCUUUGGGAGGUAAAUAGAUCAUGAAGGUGAAGUCUUCAUGAAUGGAUUAGUGUCCUUAUAAAAGAGACCCCAGAGAGCUCUCUCAUCCUGUUUCUGCCAUGUGAGGACACAGCAAGAAGUUGGUCAUCUGCAACCUGAAGUGGCUCCUCCCCAGAAACUGAAUCUGCUGGGGUCUUAAUGGUGGGCUUCCCAGCCUCCAGAAUUAUGAGUGUAAAUGUUUGUUGUUUAAGCUACCCAGUCUAGGGUAGUUUGCUAUACUACCCCAAACUGACUAAGAUACAUAUGUUUGUCAUCCACUCAGUUGUUUUCCUAAAAUAAAUGAAGUCAGCUCCAAAGAUGAAUUUUCAUCUCUUUUUGUAGAGAUGGGUGCUAUUAUGCUUUUUAAUGAACGUUUAUUCACAAAUAAAAACAAAACAUACCUCUCACAUCCUCAGAGCAAAUACUUACAGUAACAUACAUUGAUGCUCACAAGCUCAUUACAUUUCAUGUUUACUAUUCAUUGAUAACAUUACAUUUAUUAUUAUCACAUAAACCAUACCUCCUGUUUAUGAAGCACUUAUGGUGUUUUAGUCAAUGUUAUGGUACCUGCUAUAUAUGGUCUCUAAUUUUAUUUUAACUUCCUAUAGUAAACAAUAUUAGGUGCUAACUCAAUAGUCAUUUUCUAACCUGAUUUUUCCUUGCAAACAGAACCCCAAAUUUGUUUGGAGAGAAAUGUGUCCAAAUCCAAACAAAGCAUCACCAUUUCUUUGAACCAUCAUAAGGAUCUAAUCAUUUUUUUUGUUUUCCUAGCCUCCCUCUAGCCAGAGAUACUGGGUAACACAGUUCUGGCUGAGAAGACAAGAGAAGAAAUCUGCUAAGCAUUUCUGGAAAAAGUUUUGAUUUGCUGAUGAAAGGGAACAGACAUACUGGUUGCCUUCCUUUUCCCUUUCAGCUGCCUAGUCGCCAUUUUGCAAUGUGAAACAACAUCAUUAAGGAAAGAUCAAAACAAUUGCAGAGAUGUCAACCAUCAUGCCUUUGAAUUCAUGCUCACAGUUGUCUGCCUCCAGAUUCAGUUAUAUUUGAGGUACUCUUUGAGUUAAGAUCCUUCUCAUUUUAUACCACUUGCAGCUGAACACACUCCCCACUAAUUUACCUUGUAAGGUGAAUUUCACUUAAAGGAAGAACACAUAAGUCAGGGAAUGACACAUAAUAGUAAAUGCAGGGUUUUUUUUUCUAUUUAUGAUAUAGAUUUAUACAACUGCUAUGUUCUUGACAUUGUACCAAUUUCAAGGUACAAAUAAGACAUAAUCCCUAAAAGCAUGGGUUACAAAAUCUGGGUUCAGCAUAGGGUUUCAUGAUAAACAAACAAACACAAAUUGUUUUUUAUUGUAUUUCCUUCUUCUUCACAUCUUGUGAAUCUAAGAAAAAUAUCAGAAUGUUCGUUUCAGCUCAAUUUUUGAAGAGUACAAUCUCUAAGUAAAAAGAAACUGUAAAUGUUUAUAAAUGUAACUAGAGCCUAGUAGAAAAUAAAGCCAUGCAAGUGUGUUUAGGUCCUAAUCUUAUUAACCAGAUUAGUGACACACAGUCUGCCCAAAGUUAAUGAAAGCAGUGAGGUUCUUUGACUUCAGUAGAUACACACCUGAACCACAGAGAUAAACUUGCUUCAAACCUGUGCGAUAUGUUUUUCUAAGCAUAAAAUUGAGCAUGAUAGCUCCAAUUUCAGUCUCAGUUUCAAAGCUUCCCUUUCCCGAAUAAGAGGCAAACUGUCACAUUAAAUUUAGCGAAUUAAAAUCAGUUAACUUGAAAAGCUCUUGGCCCCAAUGCAGAGAAAAUUGUUUGCAUAAUAAUAACUUAUUUCCUUUUUUAAAAGGCGGACUUCUGCCUGAAUGCUUCUAUAAACUUUUAAGAAAAUGGGAUUCUCAAAUCUCAAGCGUAUUGGGUUGCAGUUGGCACUUGAAGCUGGGGACAUGCAGAGCUGGCUAAUGUCAGCAGCUGUAGGACUGUCAAGAAAAAUAGGUGGAAGGGACACUUUUAUUAUAAGUAGACUUGCAAGGCAUUCCAACUUUCAGCUGCUCAACCCAGUAUACCAAACACCUCUGACUACCUCAAGUGUGGCCUUGCUGAGUGCUUCCAUAUUUAGGGGUUAUUAGACAGGACUGAAGCAAGUGACCUCUAAUGAGGAAGCAAUCAGGGCAGGCUCUGACCCUCCUCAGAGGUACUGUAAUGAACUGGCCUUGGAAGGUCUUUGAUGCUGCCUUUGCAUACUGUAUAUGAGCUUUCUGCUCAGUCAUUUCCUCUGCGCUCUGGUAGCACAGCAUGAAGCCUGCUAUUAGAAAAAAGGUUUAUUGCUACCUUGCAAACAUUUAUUGGGUAAUAUCUAAAACAUGGUGUCAAGUUAUAGUAAUGCGCUGUUCUGGGAAACUUUUUGAGAAUUUUAGUGUUUCAGAAGAUGGUCCUUUGAGAAUUCUUCUGUUUCAGAAAUGAAAAGUGGUAGAUAUAUACGUGUGUGUGUAUAAUAUGCUCAUGUAUCCUCUGAUUACUUGCCAGAGAUGUACCAUUUUUCUUUCAAGGGAAACAUCUAUUCCUAAGAUAGAUUAUUCUUGAAAUUUUCAAAGAGUAUGCCUCAGAGAACAAAUAUACAAAUUUACCAUUUGUCUGCAGAUAUUAUUUGCCUGUGUUUAUGCUAGGUCACUGACACCACACACAUUUUAAUCCCCAAGGGAAUUUAUUUGGUGGUGUUAUCUACUCAACCAAGCUGAAGCUUAUCUAGUUCACAAGAAAAUAGUCAAUAUGAGCUCCAUGCAGACUUAUGCUGUUAAUGCAGAAGAGGGAAAGAGAAUUUACCUUUAACUGUUAUGAUGAAAAUGUGUACAAUGACACUUAACUAUGGCAUGCAAAUCCUCUUUUCCUCCCCCACAGGUAUCUGGAAAGUACCUUAUACAGCUAGGUGCUUAGAAAAUGUUUAUUGAUUAAAUAGAUGAUGAUUAACAGAUUAAUAAAAGGUGAAAGUUACUAUCUAUGCAUUUUUUUCCAGUUUGAUGUUCAAAAACUUACCAAUGGAUGGGGAGUUGCUUUUCAUAAACAAUUUAUAAAGCACUGUCCUGGAUGAAAUUGUAAAAAGGACGUGGUGUCAAAGAUGACUCAGUGGAGUUGAGGUGAAAAAUGUGUAAUGAGCAAAUCAUGGUAAUUGGGAUAUCCAUCACCUCAAACCCUUAUCAUGUCUUUGUGUUGAGGACAUUUCAAAUCUUCCCUUCCAGCUAUUUUGAAAUAUACAACAAAUUAUUGUUAAGUGUAGCCACCCUAGUGUGCUACUGUACACUAGGACUUACUUAUUCCUUCUAUCUAACUGUAUUUUUGAACCCAUGAACCAACAUCUCUUUGAUUUCCAGCCUGGGCUUUGGUGUCCCUUUUUUUGUGUGUUUUCAUAGGGCCCUAUAUUUAUAUUAUUUGGGCUCAACACAUUGCAAAACUGCAGAGGAGUUUACUAUUAUGCACAUUAUUAUUCUAUAUUCUGUCACUCUAAGAAACAAUAAGUGACCAUCUGAAGAGACCAUCUUCUAGCACCAAAAUAUUUAAAGAUGAUUAAGAAUAAGACAAGGGUCUCCUUAUUUACAAAAUGACAUAAUUGAAAGGACUAGAUUAUUAGCAACCCCUCUGGAAAAGGAUUACUCUUUUGGAUUUUAAUUACAUAACUAAUAUAUCAACUGAAGUGCUAUGCCCUGACGUGUGCUCCCCUCAGCUUCACGAUCCAUAUGUUGAAACCCAACCCCUUAAUGUGAUGGCAUUUGGAGAUGGGGCUUUGGAGAUAUUAGUUAGGUUUAGAUAAGGUCAUGAGAAUGGGGCUCUUAUGAUGAGAUGAGCACCUUCAUAAAAAGAGACACGAGGUAUUUCUCUUUUCUCUCUUCUCUCUCUCCCUCUUUCCCUCCCUCCCUCUCUCCUCCUUCUCUGUCUUCCUCCUUUAUGUGAGGACAUAGCCAGAAGGCAGCUGUGUCUGCAAGCCAGGAAGAAAGCCCUCACCAGGAAUCAACUAUAUCAGCACCUUGAUCUUGAACUUCUAUCCUUAGAACAGAGAGAAAAUGAAUUUCUAUUCUUGAAGCCACCCAGCCUACGGUAUUUUGUUAUGGCAGUCAAGCUGAAUAAGAUAUAUAUCUACACUGAGACCAUUAAAAGUAGUUCCUGAUUGGCAGAAAGGUUGUAUAUAUAAAUGGCUCAUUGAAAGUUCUCACUGCAUGGAUGAGAAAUCUCAGAUUGAGGUUCUUAAAUUUUGAAAAAUAGAAAUAAAGGAAUUAACGCAACAGUCUUCUAAUCUUUCUGCCUUCAGUUUUUGCUCCCUUUGACUAUUCUCUGUACACUGCAUCCAGAGGUUAUAUUUUGACAGGGAAAUUCAAAUGAUGUAUAUUAUUUUUCUACUCAAAAUCUCCCCACUGGCACCCUAUUGUCCUAAAGCAUAAACUGCUAUUGCAGUCAAUUCACCUGAAAUAAGCUCUCUUCCUGCCGCGUCUUUUACAUAGAUUGUUUACUCCUCUUGUGAUCCCAGUUCCCUGCUUCUCCCUCUCCUCCACACUUUUCAAUAAUUAAAUUAUACUCAGCGUUCAGAAUUCAGUCAGGAUAUCCUACCUUCUUUGGUCAGCCCCCCAGGGUUUUCUGAAAGCUGGGAAGAGGCCCUCUUCUGCAAUCCCCAUGCACUGUAGACACAUCCCCUUUAGGUCCCUAUGUUGUGAGUGACUGUUUUCUUGUCUGUCUCUGCCACUAUAUUAUGCACUCUUAGAAGGCAAGGACUACUUCUCUUCAUUGUAUACCUAGAACUUAACCCAAAAACUGGCAUGUGCAUGCACCCAAGUUUUCACUGAGAAAAUAAUUGCAUGAGUCACUUGCUUUCCAGGUCUUUCUGACUACUAUGAUGGUGAUGACUUGUAGUCACAACAUGAAAUUGGUUUCUGCCCCUGAGGAUUGUAUCUCUCUACUUUGCAUGACCCCUAGAUUUCAAUCCCUCUUUAUUCUCUCCUGAUCCUUGGGUUCCAGUAAUUCUCUGGGUUUCAAAUAUAAGCACAGUGUGAGGAGCUCUUCAUUCUUGACAGAACUUUCAGGCAAGAAAGAAAUAGAUUCCUGGGAAUAUCUAUAUUCCCUCUGGCCCUAUUCCUUACUCCCAAAACAUAAUAACCCUUUUCUUAGGUUUUUUCUCUCUACCUUUUUACUUCUUCCUUAUUCUCACGAUUACAUGAAUUAACUGCCUACAGAGUAUGAAUUCAGACUGAAUUAAUAUGUAUUUAUGUGACAUAAAAGAUCUCUUUCAGUACUUCUUAAUCUUACCAAAUGAUGCAUACUAUACAAUAAAAAAUUGCAAUUUUUUCAUUAGCUUUUUUUUUUUUUUUUGGUUUCUGGUAGGGUUUUCCUUUAGUGGUAUUUUAGCAAGUAAUACAAUCCAGUUAUUUUUAAAAGUAUAUUAGUAGAAACUCACCAGAAGUCAAUAUACUGGUCCAAGAAUAAUUAACUGAUUGACUUUAUUGUUUAUGAAACUUUGUAAUGUUCCUUUUGAUGUGAAUGCUUAUCUUAGGGGGAAAUGCACUUUUCAAAUAUAAAUGAUCAUGUUUAAACAAACUGCUUCUAGUUUCAAAUAUGGCACUGAAAAACAAAAUAAAAUAAACACUCAAUUUUUAUUUAAAAUGGUGGGCAAUUUACUUUCUUUUUUGUUUGGGAUCUGAUUCAAGAGCCUCAAUUCAGCUUAUUGCAGAACUAACUAAACUAAACCUCAAAGGAAAAAUUUUAAAAAUGAUUUUUAUAGCAAUGACAUCAUUAUAUAAAAUGUUGGCAUUUCAUAUUUUCCAAACAGAAACUUGGAAAUAACAGAAUACAAGUUAAAUAAAACAAAUUGAAACUAAUCCAAUUCUCUGUUUUUCUUUCCCUUUUUAAAAACCAAGCUUUUUAUUGCCAGCUUUUACUUUGCAUAAUAAUAUAUGAUGAAUUGUCCAAGAAAGACCCAGUGGGUACAUUUCUCUUAGAAAUAAGCCUCUCUAUGCAAUAGGAGGCCAAGUUCUAGGGCAACAUACUUAUAUAAUCAUGUAAGAUUUUCCUUAUUGCUAACAAUUGACCAACCUGGGCAUUUGUCAAAUAUGUAAACACAUGGAGGUCACUGGUCACCAGAGGAUUGAAAACACAAAUCACUCUAUUCAUAUCCAUCCCUAGUUCUAGAAAAACAAUACCAAAUUAAAGCAUAUAUCCUACUAGCAAUAGGACUAGCAAAAUUAUUUUGGUAUACCAGAGCUACAUGUUAUACAUUUUGCUACUUAUGGAUUUAAUUACUCAGGAUAAUUAUACACAUGGCUACAACUGUAAACUUUAUAAUAUUUUGCUGGCAUACCUUCCAAAAGAGUUUGAAAAGCUAUGAAUUUAAUUCUAUAUUUGCAUUUGACAUAUAAAGUAC